rnacentral:rRNA from 1 species
CCAAUAGCGUAUAUUAAGGUUGCUGCGGUUAAAAAGCUCGUAGUUGAAUUUUGGGAUUGACACAUCGGUCGUGCCUUAAGGGCAUGAACUAGCGUAGCCAAUUCCUCACCUUCUGGUGAAUUGUGAUGCCUCUUUAACUGGGUGUUUCAAUGAACUAGGAAUUUUACUUUGAAAAAAUUAGAGUGUUUAAAGCAGGCAUUAUUUGCUUGAAUACAUUAGCAUGGAAUAAUAAAAUAGGACGAUGAUUCUAUUUUGUUGGUUUCUAGGAUCACCGUAAUGAUUAAUAGGAAUAGUUGGGGGUAUUAGUAUUCAAUUGUCAGAGGUGAAAUUCUUGGAUUAAUUGAAGACUAACUACUGCGAAAGCAUUUGCCAAGGAUGUUUUCAUUAAUCAAGAACGAAAGUUAGGGGAUCGAAGACGAUUAGGUACGUCGUAGUCUUAACCAUAAACUAUGCCGACUAGGAAUCAGACGAUGUUAAUUUUUUAAUGACUCGUUUGGCGCCUUACG